UACGUAGGCAGCGAGCGUUGUUCGGAAUUACUGGGCGUAAAGAGUGUGUAGGCGGUCUGUUGCGUCCGCUGUGAAAACCCGGGGCUUAACCCUGGGCUGGCAGUGGAUACGGACAGACUAGAGGUAGGUAGGGGAGAAUGGAAUUCCCGGUGUAGCGGUGAAAUGCGCAGAUAUCGGGAGGAACACCGGUGGCGAAGGCGGUUCUCUGGGCCUUACCUGACGCUGAGGAGCGAAAGCGUGGGGAGCGAACAGG
rnacentral:rRNA from 1 species